GAUGAAGAACGUAGCGAAAUGCGAUAAGUAGUGUGAAUUGCAGAAUUCAGUGAAUCAUCGAAUCUUUGAACGCACAUUGCGCCCCUUGGUAUUCCAUGGGGCAUGCCUGUUCGAGCGUCAUUUGUACCUUCAAGCUUUGCUUGGUGUUGGGUGUUUGUCUCGCCUUUGCGUGUAGACUCGCCUUAAAAUAAUUGGCAGCCGGCGUAUUGAUUUCGGAGCGCAGUACAUCUCGCGCUUUGCACUCAUAACGACAGCGUCCAAAAGUACAUUUUACUCUCUUGACCUCGGAUCAGGUAGGGAUACCCGCUGAACUUAAGCAUAUCAAUAAGCGGAGGA
rnacentral:misc_RNA from 1 species